rnacentral:misc_RNA from 1 species
AAGUCGUAACAAGGUUUCCGUAGGUGAACCUGCGGAAGGAUCAUUAAAAGAUCAUUCGGUUGUUCCCCGUCAACGCCUGUUGACGGGGGACGAUACCGGGGGCUUACGCCCCUGGGCCGGUUGAAUCCCACCCGUGUCUACAUACUCUUGUUGCUUUGGCAGGCCGUGGCCUCCCACUGUGGGCUCUGCCUGCAUGUGCCUGCCAGAGGAUCAAAUUCUGAAUUUUAGUGAUGUCUGAGUACUAUAUAAUAGUUAAAA